UACGUAGGGUGCAAGCGUUGUCCGGAAUUAUUGGGCGUAAAGAGCUCGUAGGCGGUUUGUCGCGUCGGCUGUGAAAUCCCGAGGCUCAACCUCGGGCCUGCAGUCGAUACGGGCAAACUAGAGUGUGGUAGGGGAGACUGGAAUUCCUGGUGUAGCGGUGAAAUGCGCAGAUAUCAGGAGGAACACCGGCGGCGAAGGCGGGUCUCCGGGCCGUAACUGACGCUGAGGAGCGAAAGCAUGGGGAGCGAACAGG
rnacentral:rRNA from 1 species